UUGGUACAGUGUACUUUAUUGAUGGUACAUGACAAGGUAGGGCUCCCCAAGCCCCUCUCCUUCUUCAAGGGGUUUGGGAUGGGAACUGUGUGAAGAUUGGGAGAUUCUCAGUGUGUUGGGGGAAGGGGGACAAGACUCCUCAGUAGCUGAGGGCCUCUCUCUCCCUCUUGCCGUCACUGGGGCUAGUGGUCCAGGGGGCUCUUAGAGGCAGUGUGGACCAUAAGGUCCACCACGUGGUUGCUAUAGCCAAAUUCACUGUUACAGCAGGAAAUGAACUUGAUAAAGUGGUCACUGAGGGCAAUGCCAGCCCCAGCAUUGAAGGUGGAAGAGUGGGUGUCACCGUUAAAGUUGCAGGAGACAACGUGGUCCUCAGUGUAGCCCAGGAUGUCCUUAAGGGGGCCCUCCUAUGCCUGCUUCACCACCUUCUUAAUGCCAUCAUAUUUCACACCUUUGUCUAGGCAGUAGGU
rnacentral:lncRNA from 1 species